GCUUUUUUGAAUUACAAGUUUAUAAGUUAUCAAAGAGAAGAUUCUUAAAUUGACAGCUUCUCUUGAAUUUUAUGUUUAUAUUUAGCCAUUUGAAUAAAAAUAAAAAUCGAAAGUCGUCUUCAUUGUAUUGAUAUAAUCGCCUAUCACCGUAUAAAAACAGAUAGAAUGAGAUUGACCCGCUUCCUGGUAUUUGUGUGUCUAAUAUCUAGUGGAUUUAAUAAAUUAUAUCUAAUAAGGAUCAAGAGUAAUAAUAAUCUUGAUAACUUGCCGAGAAAAAUCAAUCUAGCAGCAAACCCAACUAAUUCAAAGACAUGGCAGGACUAUACGGACUAUAAGGACUACGUAACGGGUUAUUGAUCAAAAUCCUGCAAGCAAAACUGAAGAGGUUUACUACGUGGAGAACAUGCCUGCCUUCAAAAUUCUAAUUUUUACAUAUAAAAAUAUGUGUAUUGGCAUGUCUUUCAAUAUAGUUACAAAUUAGAUUUAAA